rnacentral:rRNA from 1 species
GGGUUGUGAGGUUAAGCGACUAAGCGUACACGGUGGAUGCCCUGGCAGUCAGAGGCGAUGAAGGACGUGCUAAUCUGCGAAAAGCGUCGGUAAGGUGAUAUGAACCGUUAUAACCGGCGAUGUCCGAAUGGGGAAACCCAGUGCAAUUCGUUGCACUAUCGUUAACUGAAUACAUAGGUUAACGAGGCGAACCGGGGGAACUGAAACAUCUAAGUACCCCGAGGAAAAGAAAUCAACCGAGAUUCCCCCAGUAGCGGCGAGCGAACGGGGAGCAGCCCAGAGUCUGAAUCAGCUUGUGUGUUAGUGGAACGGUCUGGAAAGUCCGACGGUACAGGGUGAUAGUCCCGUACACCAAAAUGCACAGGCUGUGAACUCGAAGAGUAGGGCGGGACACGUGGUAUCCUGUCUGAAUAUGGGGGACCAUCCUCCAAGGCUAAAUACUCCUGACUGACCGAUAGUGAACCAGUACCGUGAGGGAAAGGCGAAAAGAACCCCGGCGAGGGGAGUGAAAAAGAACCUGAAACCGUGUACGUACAAGCAGUGGGAGCACCUUCGGGUGUGACUGCGUACCUUUUGUAUAAUGGGUCAGCGACUUAUAUUCUGUAGCAAGGUUAACCGUAUAGGGGAGCCGCAGGGAAACCGAGUCUUAACUGGGCGUUAAGUUGCAGGGUAUAGACCCGAAACCCGGUGAUCUAGCCAUGGGCAGGUUGAAGGUUGGGUAACACUAACUGGAGGACCGAACCGACUAAUGUUGAAAAAUUAGCGGAUGACUUGUGGCUGGGGGUGAAAGGCCAAUCAAACCGGGAGAUAGCUGGUUCUCCCCGAAAGCUAUUUAGGUAGCGCCUCGUGAACUCAUCUUCGGGGGUAGAGCACUGUUUCGGCUAGGGGGUCAUCCCGACUUACCAACCCGAUGCAAACUACGAAUACCGAAGAAUGUUAUCACGGGAGACACACGGCGGGUGCUAACGUCCGUCGUGAAGAGGGAAACAACCCAGACCGCCAGCUAAGGUCCCAAAGUCAUGGUUAAGUGGGAAACGAUGUGGGAAGGCACAGACAGCCAGGAUGUUGGCUUAGAAGCAGCCAUCAUUUAAAGAAAGCGUAAUAGCUCACUGGUCGAGUCGGCCUGCGCGGAAGAUGUAACGGGGCUAAACCAUGCACCGAAGCUGCGGCAGCGACACUAUGUGUUGUUGGGUAGGGGAGCGUUCUGUAAGCCUGCGAAGGUGUGCUGUGAGGCAUGCUGGAGGUAUCAGAAGUGCGAAUGCUGACAUAAGUAACGAUAAAGCGGGUGAAAAGCCCGCUCGCCGGAAGACCAAGGGUUCCUGUCCAACGUUAAUCGGGGCAGGGUGAGUCGACCCCUAAGGCGAGGCCGAAAGGCGUAGUCGAUGGGAAACAGGUUAAUAUUCCUGUACUUGGUGUUACUGCGAAGGGGGGACGGAGAAGGCUAUGUUAGCCGGGCGACGGUUGUCCCGGUUUAAGCAUGUAGGCUGAUUGUCCAGGCAAAUCCGGAUAAUCAAGGCUGAGGUGUGAUGACGAGGCACUACGGUGCUGAAGUAACAAAUGCCCUGCUUCCAGGAAAAGCCUCUAAGCAUCAGGUAACAUUAAAUCGUACCCCAAACCGACACAGGUGGUCAGGUAGAGAAUACCAAGGCGCUUGAGAGAACUCGGGUGAAGGAACUAGGCAAAAUGGUGCCGUAACUUCGGGAGAAGGCACGCUGGUGUGUAGGUGAAGUCCCUGCGGAUGGAGCUGAGACCAGUCGAAGAUACCAGCUGGCUGCAACUGUUUAUUAAAAACACAGCACUGUGCAAACACGAAAGUGGACGUAUACGGUGUGACGCCUGCCCGGUGCCGGAAGGUUAAUUGAUGGGGUUAUCCGUAAGGAGAAGCUCUUGAUCGAAGCCCCGGUAAACGGCGGCCGUAACUAUAACGGUCCUAAGGUAGCGAAAUUCCUUGUCGGGUAAGUUCCGACCUGCACGAAUGGCGUAAUGAUGGCCAGGCUGUCUCCACCCGAGACUCAGUGAAAUUGAACUCGCUGUGAAGAUGCAGUGUACCCGCGGCAAGACGGAAAGACCCCGUGAACCUUUACUAUAGCUUGACACUGAACAUUGAGCCUUGAUGUGUAGGAUAGGUGGGAGGCUUUGAAGCGUGGACGCCAGUCUGCGUGGAGCCAACCUUGAAAUACCACCCUUUAAUGUUUGAUGUUCUAACGUUGGCCCCUGACCGGGGUUGCGGACAGUGUCUGGUGGGUAGUUUGACUGGGGCGGUCUCCUCCCAAAGCGUAACGGAGGAGCACGAAGGUUAGCUAAUCCUGGUCGGACAUCAGGAGGUUAGUGCAAUGGCAUAAGCUAGCUUGACUGCGAGCGUGACGGCGCGAGCAGGUGCGAAAGCAGGUCAUAGUGAUCCGGUGGUUCUGAAUGGAAGGGCCAUCGCUCAACGGAUAAAAGGUACUCCGGGGAUAACAGGCUGAUACCGCCCAAGAGUUCAUAUCGACGGCGGUGUUUGGCACCUCGAUGUCGGCUCAUCACAUCCUGGGGCUGAAGUAGGUCCCAAGGGUAUGGCUGUUCGCCAUUUAAAGUGGUACGCGAGCUGGGUUUAGAACGUCGUGAGACAGUUCGGUCCCUAUCUGCCGUGGGCGCUGGAGAAUUGAGGGGGCUGCUCCUAGUACGAGAGGACCGGAGUGGACGCAUCACUGGUGUUCGGGUUGUCAUGCCAAUGGCACUGCCCGGUAGCUAAAUGCGGAAGAGAUAAGUGCUGAAAGCAUCUAAGCACGAAACUUGCCCCGAGAUGAGUUCUCCCUGAGACUUUAAGUCUCCUGAAGGAACGUUAAAGACGAUGACGUUGAUAGGCCGGGUGUGUAAGCGCAGCGAUGCGUUGAGCUAACCGGUACUAAUGAACCGUGAGGCUUAACCUUACAACGCCGAAG